GGUGGAAGCGUGGUGACACGUGGAGCUGACUGAUACUAAUCGGUCGAGGACUUAACUA
rnacentral:rRNA from 2 species